GAUGAACGCUAGCUACAGGCUUAACACAUGCAAGUCGAGGGGUAACGAGAGGAAAGCUUGCUUUCCUUGUCGACGACCGGCGCACGGGUGAGUAACGCGUAUCCAACCUGCCCCCAACUAGGGAAUAACCUUGCGAAAGUAAGACUAAUACCCUAUAAUUUCCUCAGAUGUCAUCUGACGAGGAAUAAAGAUUUAUCGGUUGUGGAUGGGGAGGCGUCUGAUUAGCUUGUUGGCGGGGGUAACGGCCCACCAAGGCAACGAUCAGUAGGGGGUCUGAGAGGAAGGUCCCCCACAUUGGAACUGAGACACGGUCCAAACUCCUACGGGAGGCAGCAGUGAGGAAUAUUGGUAAAUGGGCGGAAGCCUGAACCAGCCAAGUAGCGUGCAGGAUGACGGCCCUAUGGGUUGUAAACUGCUUUUAUACAGGAAUAAAGUUAGCCACGUGUGGUUAUUUGUAGGUACUGUAUGAAUAAGGACCGGCUAAUUCCGUGCCAGCCGCCGCCGUAA
rnacentral:rRNA from 1 species